CCGACACGACCGUACCGCAAACCGGCACUGGUGCGCGAGAUGAGUAUUCUAAGGCGCUUGAGAGAACUCAGGAGAAGGAACUCGGCAAAUUGACACCGUAACUUCGGAAGAAGGUGUGCCUUUAGUAGGUGAAGGGAUUUACUCCUGGAGCCCAAUGAGGUUGCAAAAAAUCGGUGGCUGCGACUGCUUAAUAAAAACACAGCACUCUGCAAACACGAAAGUGGACGUAUAGGGUGUGACGCCUGCCCGGUGCUGGAAGAUUAAAUGAUGGGGUGCAAGCUCUUGAUUGAAGUCCCAGUAAACGGCGGCCGUAACAAUAACGGUCCUAAGGUAGCGAAAUUCCUUGUCGGGUAAGUUCCGACCUGCACGAAUGGCGUAACGAUGGCCACACUGUCUCCUCCUGAGACUCAGCGAAGUUGAAAUGUUUGUGAUGAUGCAAUCUCCCCGCGGAAAGACGGAAAGACCCCAUGAACCUUUACUGUAGCUUUGUAUUGGACUUUGAACAGAUCUGUGUAGGAUAGGUGGGAGGCUUUGAAGCAGGGUCGCUAGAUCUUGUGGAGCCAACGUUGAAAUACCACCCUGGUGUGUUUGAGGUUCUAACCUAGGCCCGUUAUCCGGGUCGGGGACAGUGCAUGGUAGGCAGUUUGACUGGGGCGGUCUCCUCCCAAAGCGUAACGGAGGAGUUCGAAGGUACGCUAGUUACGGUCGGACAUCGUGACGAUAGUGCAAUGGCAUAAGCGUGCUUAACUGCGAGACUGACAAGUCGAGCAGAUGCGAAAGCAGGACAUAGUGAUCCGGUGGUUCUGUAUGGAAGGGCCAUCGCUCAACGGAUAAAAGGUACUCUGGGGAUAACAGGCUGAUACCGCCCAAGAGUUCAUAUCGACGGCGGUGUUUGGCACCUCGAUGUCGGCUCAUCUCAUCCUGGGGCUGUAGCCGGUCCCAAGGGUAUGGCUGUUCGCCAUUUAAAGAGGUACGUGAGCUGGGUUUAAAACGUCGUGAGACAGUUUGGUCCCUAUCUUCCGUGGGCGCUGCAGAUUUGAGGAAGCCUGCUCCUAGUACGAGAGGACCGGAGUGGACACACCUCUGGUGUAUCGGUUGUCACGCCAGUGGCAUUGCCGAGUAGCUAAGUGUGGAAGAGAUAACCGCUGAAAGCAUCUAAGCGGGAAACUCGUUUCAAGAUGAGAUCUGCCGGGGCCUUGAGCCCCCUAAAGAGUCGUUCAAGACCAGGACGUUGAUAGGUCAGGUGUGGAAGCGCAGUAAUGCGUUAAGCUAACUGAUACUAAUUGCUCGUGCGGCUUGACC
rnacentral:rRNA from 1 species